GGAGUUUGGGCCGUGUCUCAGUCCCAAUGUGGCCGAUCACCCUCUCAGGUCGGCUACCGAUCGUCGACUUGGUGGGCCGUUACCUCACCAACUAUCUAAUCGGACGCGAGCCCACCCUUCACCGGAUUGCUCCUUUGACCCCUAAGCCAUGUGACUCUGUGGUCUUAUGCGGUAUUAGUACAACUUUCGCUGUGUUAUCCCCCUGUGAAGGACAGGUUGCUCACGCGUUACUCACCCGUCCGCCGCUAAAACAUCUCAAUCCACUUCCAUCCGAAAACUUCCGCUUCUCAAAAUGUCUCCGCUCGACUUGCAUGUGUUAGGCACGCCGCCAGCGUUCGUCCUCGAGCGAGGAUCAAACUCU
rnacentral:rRNA from 1 species